rnacentral:misc_RNA from 1 species
UACGGAGGAUCCAAGCGUUAUACGGAAUCAUUGGGUUUAAAGGGUCCGUAGGCGGGAUAAUAAGUCAGUGGUGAAAGUCUGCCGCUUAACGGUAGAACUGCCAUUGAUACUGUUGUCCUUGAGUAAUUAUGGGGUGGUUAGAAUAUGUAGUGUAGCGGUGAAAUGCAUAGAUAUUACAUAGAAUACCGAUUGCGAAGGCAGAUCACUAAUAAUGUACUGACGCUGAUGGACGAAAGCGUAGGUAGCGAACAGG